rnacentral:piRNA from 1 species
AAGUAAAGUAUUGGGGGAAAGC